rnacentral:rRNA from 1 species
UACCAGCACCCCGAGUGGUCGGCGCGAUUAUUGGGCCUAAAGCGUCCGUAGCCGGUUCUACAAGUCUUCCGUUAAAUCCACCUGCUUAACAGAUGGGCUGCGGAGGAUACUAUAGAGCUAGGAGGCGGGAGAGGCAAGCGGUACUUAGUGGGUAGGGGUAAAAUCCGUUGAUCCAUUGAAGACCACCAGUGGCGAAGGCGGCUUGCCAGAACGCACUCGACGGUGAGGGAUGAAAGCUGGGGGAGCAAACCGG